rnacentral:rRNA from 15 species
AUCUGGUGGAUCCUGCCAGUAGUUAUAUGCUCGUCUUCAAGAUUAAGCCAUGCAUGUCUAAGUGUAAACCUCUGGUGAACUGCGAAUGGCUCAUUAACUCAGUUAUGAUUUAUUUGGUGGUGUAGUACUACUCGGAUAACCGUAGUAACUCUGUGGCUAAUACGUGAGAUGCUUCCCCGACUUAUCAGGAGGGGUGUGUUUAUUGGUUAAAAAUGCCGGCCCACGCUCCUGGCGUGGAUGAGGUGUUGAAGCAUGAUAAUCGUCGAAUCGCACGGCUUAAAGCUCGCGAUGCUCCAUUCAAAUUUCUGUCUCAUCAACUUGAUGGUAGGGUAGUGGCCUACCAUGGUCGUGACGGGUAACGGGGAAUUGGCGUUCGAUUCCGGAGAGGGAGCCUGAGAAACGGCUACCACAUCCAAGGAAGGCAGCAGGCGCGCAAAUUACCCAAUCCCGACACGGGGAGGUAGUGACAAUAAAUACUGAUACAGGGCUCUUUUGGGUCUUGUAAUUGGAAUGAGUACAAUUUAAAUCCCUUAACGAGGAACAAUUGGAGGGCAAGUCUGGUGCCAG